GUCACUUCACUCUCCCUAAGUUUCUUAAAACCAGAAAAUAUGGAUUUUUCAGGUGUUAAGUGAUGUCCAUUGAUACUCUCCUGAAUUAUUAACAAAUGGUAAAAAUGACCUGUAUGCAGCCUGUAUAGUUGCCCCUAUGUAGAUGCUGGGGGAUCUCUUAUGCUGUGACGUGAAUGUGCCCAGGAUUCAUUAUCUUACAAAUGGAAUAAAUGUCCACAGGUGAGGUGAUUUUUUUUCUCUACAGACUCAUCAGGGUAGUCAGAAGUCAUUUAGAAAGGGGCUUUGCAGCUCAUUUCUGUAGUUUCUUUGUGUCCCUGCAUCACGGGGCAUACUGAAUCUGAACAUCACCUUAAAAUGUCAGGUGCUAGCCUUUUGAGCAGUCAUCCAGUGAGUCUUUACCGUUUAACGACAGCCUAAAUUUAAGCAUCUUUUUCACAGAGACCUUGUUUGUUAGGACCACGGGAGGCAGGAGAGCCCAUGGAACAAAUUGAUCAGAUCAACUCAGAAUUGAUGCUUCUUAGAUUUGGCAAUUGCAUCUUACACUGUGAUACUGCAGGUCAUUCAUGUGACAAGAGGACUAAUCACAUUGCUCCUGUGAAGGUAUCUCUUUCCAGUCUAGAGGAAAAUACUGUUCUGUGAACCAUAGUGUUCUGUGUUGUUACAAUUGAAGUGAAAGACAGCAGACCAUU